UCCAAGAGUGAGUUCUCCUGC
rnacentral:siRNA from 1 species